GCAAUUGGGACAACAUCCCUAAUGCGCCUUGAAAUGAGGAACUCAAAAGUCACGUGUAAAGAAAAAAUCUCUGUGUAGUGAUAUUGGACAUGUUUCUAUUUUUAGCAAAUGACUGAACUUAAUUAUUUGUAGUGAUUAGGAAAGUAGAGGAACAUAGAAUAAAAGUGUAAAAACUAUGGAGCUAUUGAAUGUGUUCAAAAUAUUAAAUUUUCAAAGAACUUAUUGUGUUAAAAAGGGGAUAUUUUACCACAAGGAGCCGCAUCACAACAGGAUGUUCGGGGUUUGCUAAUUUACGGAAAAAGUAAUCUCACUUCGUACCCCGAAAAUUUAACCACAUAUGUGAAAAUGUCACAGCUUCGAAACAAGCUAUCAUACAUAUCCAAGUUAACGAUAUGGACUGAGCUACAGGAAAAAACGUUACCAUUACUGCCUAUGUAAAAACAAUUAAAGAUUUUGACCCAAAUUAGAAGCACAAUUCCAGAGGUUGUCAGACUGAUUUAUGGAUGAUUUCACCUUGUACACCACCGAAAAUGAUGUUCCAGACAUAUCAUUAUUUUUCAAUCUGAGAUGGCAAACUAGAGGUUUUAAAAAGUCCUGAAUAACUGAAAUGGACAAAAAUACAAAGAUUUAUUCAGAAUAUUAUACCGAUGAAGAUCACAUAAAAAUAUUUGGAAAAAUCAGAAGUAUGGAUUACAAUAUGGGACAACAUCCCUAAUGCGCCUUGAAAUGAGGAACUCAAAAGUCACGUGUAAAGAAAAAAUCUCUGUGUAGUGAUAUUGGACAUGUUUCUAUUUUUAGCAAAUGACUGAACUUAAUUAUUUGUAGUGAUUAGGAAAGUAGAGGAACAUAGAAUAAAUGUGUAAAAACUAUGGAGCUAUUGAAUGUGUUCAAAGUAUUAAAUUUUUAAAGAACUUAUUGUGUUAAAAAGGGGAUAUUUUACCACAAGGAGCCGCAUCACAACAGGAUGUUCGGGGUUUGCUAAUUUACGGAAAAAGUAAUCUCACUUCGUACCCCGAAAAUUUAACCACAUAUGUGAAAAUGUCACAGCUUCGAA